UACGGAGGGUGCGAGCGUUGUCCGGAAUCACUGGGCGUAAAGGGCGCGUAGGUGGCGACGCAAGUCAACGGUGAAAGCUCGACGCUCAACGUCGAGUCGGCCGUCGAUACUGCGUUGCUCGAGCACUGUAGAGGCAGAUGGAAUUCCGGGUGUAGCGGUGGAAUGCGUAGAGAUCCGGAAGAACACCGGUGGCGAAGGCGGUCUGGCUGGGCAGUAGCUGACACUGAGGCGCGGACAGCGUGGGGAGCAAACAGGAUUAGAAACCCCUGGUACGU
rnacentral:rRNA from 1 species